AAAAGAACUCUGAAUAGAGAGUUAAAUAGUACGUGAAACUGCUUAGAGGUUAAACCCGAUGAACUUGAAUAUCCAAUAUAGAGAAUUCAUCAUUAAUAUAUUAAUUAUAAUUAAUAUAAUGGUGUGCAUUUUCUCUAUAUAAUGGACAUUGUAAUCUAUUAAUAUAUAAAUUAAUUUAUCAUAAGAUCAUAAGCAUUAUGUUUAUUUUAAUUAAAUUGUUUCGGCAUUUUAAUAUAAAAUAAUUGCUAUUGAUUUGAUAAAGUAUUGAUAGAUUUAAUCAUAUGUAUAAUGCAUAAAUUCAUUAGAAUUUUAUAAUAUAGUUAAUAUAUUAUAAGCAUUUAUACGAUUUACAAUGCGAAAGAUUCAGGAUACCUUCGGGAC
rnacentral:rRNA from 1 species